GUGUGACUGCAGGACACAUGAACAUCGACAUUUUGAACGCAUAUCGCAGUCCAUGCUGUUAUGUACUUUAAUUAAUUUUUUAGUGCUGCUUGGACUACAUAUGGUUGAGGGUUGUAAGACUAUGCUAAAUAAGUUGUUUAAAAUUUUUCGGAAUUUUAAGCACAUUGUAUAUUAUUGGAUAAUAUAAGUGUGAAUCUAAAAAGUUCUCGCUUAAAAUAUUCAUAAUAUGAAUUAAUAAAUGAAAAUACUAAAACUCUGUUGCAUGAGAAAUUUGAAGAAUUAUAUGUUCUUUAUUCAUUUCAAAUAAUAUUGAGGAAUGUCUAGCAUAAAAUAUAUUAUUUUAUAAACUAGAAUUGCCUCUUAUUAACGAAUAUGGUAUAAAGAAUAAUUUUGUGAAUAUUAUGGACCUUCAAGAAAAAAAUAGUAUAUUUCAAAAUAGGCAGAGAAUUGUCUAUAAGUGUAAUUAAACAACCUCAACUCAUAUGGGACUACCCCCUGAAUUUAAGCAUAUUAAUUAGGGGAGGAAAAGAAACUAACAAGGAUUUUCUUAGUAGCGGCGAGCGAAAAGAAAUCAGUUCAGCACUAAGUCACUUUGUCUAUAUGGCAAAUGUGAGAUGCAGUGUAUGGAACGUCAAUAUUCUAGUAUGAGAAAUUAACGAUUUAAGUCCUUCUUAAAUGAGGCCAUUUACCCAUAGAGGGUGCCAGGCCCGUAUAACGUUAAUGAUUAUUAGAUGAUGUUUCCAAAGAGUCGUGUUGCUUGAUAGUGCAGCACUAAGUGGGUGGUAAACUCCAUCUAAAACUAAAUAUAACCAUGAGACCGAUAGUAAACAAGUACCGUGAGGGAAAGUUGAAAAGAACUCUGAAUAGAGAGUUAAAUAGUACGUGAAACUGCUUAGAGGUUAAGCCCGAUGAACCUGAAUAUCCGUUAUGGAAAAUUCAUCAUUAGAAUUGUAAUAUUUAAUCAAUAUUAUAACGAUAGUGUGCAUUUUUUCCAUAUAAGGACAUUGUAAUCUAUUAGCAUGUAUGGAAUUUAUCAAACAAUUUUGAUAAGAGUUUAUUUAAAUUAGAGUGCUUGCAUUUUAACAUAAAAUAAAUUUCAAAAAUUUGAUAAAGUGCUGAUAGAUUAUAUGAGUACAGUGCGUUAAUUUUUCGGAAUUAUAUAAUGGCAUGAUUAUCAUUGAUUUUUAUGUUUAUUAUAAGCACUUGUAUGAUUAACAAUGCGAAAGAUUCAGGAUACCUUCGGGACCCGUCUUGAAACACGGACCAAGGAGUCUAACAUAUGUGCAAGUUAUUGGGAUAUAAACCUAAUAGCGUAAUUAACUUGACUAUUAUUGGGAUUAGUUUUUUAACUAUUUAUAGUUGAUUAACGCAAUCCCGGGGCGUUCUAUAUAGUUAUGUAUAAUAAUAUUUAUAUUAUUUAUGCCUCUAACUGGAACGUACCUUGAGCAUAUAUGCUGUGACCCGAAAGAUGGUGAACUAUACUUGAUCAGGUUGAAGUCAGGGGAAACCCUGAUGGAAGACCGAAACAGUUCUGACGUGCAAAUCGAUUGUCAGAAUUGAGUAUAGGGCGAAAGACCAAUCGAACCAUCUAGUAGCUGG
rnacentral:rRNA from 1 species